rnacentral:rRNA from 1 species
UUUUAUAAGGGAAUAAACCCUCCCACGUGUGGGAGCUUGUAUGUACCUUAUGAAUAAGCAUCGGCUAACUCCGUGCCAGCAGCCGCGGUAAUACGGAGGAUGCGAGCGUUAUCCGGAUUUAUUGGGUUUAAAGGGAGCGCAGACGGGUCGUUAAGUCAGCUGUGAAAGUUUGGGGCUCAACCUUAAAAUUGCAGUUGAUACUGGCGUCCUUGAGUGCGGUUGAGGUGUGCGGAAUUCGUGGUGUAGCGGUGAAAUGCUUAGAUAUCACGAAGAACUCCGAUUGCGAAGGCAGCACACUAAUCCGUAACUGACGUUCAUGCUCGAAAGUGUGGGUAUCAAACAGGAUUAGAUACCCUGGUAGUCCACACGGUAAACGAUGGAUACUCGCUGUUGGCGAUAUACUGUCAGCGGCUUAGCGAAAGCGUUAAGUAUCCCACCUGGGGAGUACGCCGGCAACGGUGCAACUCAAAUGAAUUGACGG